UGGCUCUGGCAUCGAUGAAGAACGCAGCGAAAUGCGAUAAGUAAUGCGAAUUGCAGAAUUCAGUGAAUCGUCGAAUCUUUGAACGCACAUUGCGCCCCCCAGCACUCUGGGGGGCACGCCUGUCUGAGCGUCAUUUCAACCCUCGCGGCCCCUUCGGGGGCGGCGGUGUUGGGGAUCGGCCCGCCCCUCGCCGGGUGGCCGGCCCCGAAAUGCAGUGGCGACCGUCGCCGCGGCCUCCUCCGCGUAGUAGUAAAACACCUCGUGGGCGGAGAGCGGCGCGGCUUCCUGCCGUAAAACCCCCCAAUCUUUCACAAGGUUGACCUCAGAUCAGGUGGGAUUACCCGCUGA
rnacentral:misc_RNA from 1 species